rnacentral:rRNA from 1 species
UACGUAGGGUGCAAGCGUUGUCCGGAAUUAUUGGGCGUAAAGAGCUCGUAGGCGGUCUGUCGCGUCGGCUGUGAAAUCCCGGAGCUCAACUCCGGGUCUGCAGUCGAUACGGGCAAACUGGAGUACUGCAGGGGAGACUGGAAUUCCUGGUGUAGCGGUGAAAUGCGCAGAUAUCAGGAGGAACACCGGUGGCGAAGGCGGGUCUCUGGACAUUUCCUGACGCUGAGGCACGAAAGCCAGGGGAGCAAACGGG